rnacentral:rRNA from 1 species
CUUUCUCCGCCGGCGACCGGCGCACGGGUGAGUAACACGUAUGCAACCUGCCCCUGUCAGGGGGACAACCCGCCGAAAGGCGGGCUAAACCCGCGUACAUGCCACCGGGGCAUCCCGGAGGCAGGAAAGGCUUCGGCCGGACAGGGAUGGGCAUGCGGCGCAUUAGGCAGUAGGCGGGGUAACGGCCCACCUAACCGACGAUGCGAAGGGGUUCUGAGAGGAAGGUCCCCCACACUGGUACUGAGACACGGACCAGACUCCUACGGGAGGCAGCAG